rnacentral:rRNA from 2 species
UUGACCUCGAAUCAGGUAGGAAUACCCGCUGAACUUAAGCAUAUCAAUAAGCGGAGGAAAAGAAACCAACAGGGAUUGCCCCAGUAACGGCGAGUGAAGCGGCAACAGCUCAAAUUUGAAAUCUGGCUCUCGGGCCCGAGUUGUAAUUUGUAGAGGAUGCUUUUGGUGAGGUGCCUUCCGAGUUCCCUGGAACGGGACGCCAUAGAGGGUGAGAGCCCCGUCUGGUUGGACACCGAUCCUCUGUAAAGCUCCUUCGACGAGUCGAGUAGUUUGGGAAUGCUGCUCUAAAUGGGAGGUAUAUGUCUUCUAAAGCUAAAUACCGGCCAGAGACCGAUAGCGCACAAGUAGAGUGAUCGAAAGAUGAAAAGAACUUUGAAAAGAGAGUUAAAAAGUACGUGAAAUUGUUGAAAGGGAAGCGCUUGUGACCAGACUUGGGCUUGGUUGAUCAUCCGGGGUUCUCCCCGGUGCACUCUUCCGGCUCAGGCCAGCAUCAGUUCGCCCUGGGGGAUAAAGGCUUCGGGAAUGUGGCUCUCUCCGGGGAGUGUUAUAGCCCGCUGCGUAAUACCCUGUGGCGGACUGAGGUUCGCGCAUC